rnacentral:lncRNA from 1 species
AAAAAACCUUCUCAUAAAGUCACAAGAAUAUAUUCACCUCUUUCAGUGGGAGAAACUCUUCUUUGAGAGAAACCAAGUUUUAGUCUAAAAAAGUUUUUCAGACAUGAAUUGUCACUGCAGAAAAUGAUUUCUUCAUAACAAAAUGAUUUUUUUGCUAUUUUUAAAAUGAAAACUCAAAAAACUCCCAAGCCUUUGCGAAACAGCAAAGUCUCUCUCACCCACUGCCUAGUUUGAAAAAACGUAUACUGCCAAAUUUAUUUCCAUACAAAACCAUUCCCAAUCACAUGUGGGGCCUUUGGAGGCCCUGACAGUGUAAGGCACCCCACUUUUCCCUUCUGCGUGCUUUAAGCGGAACUAUAUUGCAGCAUAAUGCUUUCAAUUUGUUCCAGUAGAACAUAGCUAAUCUGCAUUCCAUUUUCUGGCCUCACUGGAUGCAUGAACAGCUGAUGUCACAGGCACAGGCAAAAUCUUCAGCUUUGUUAUGCACAAGCUUUUAGGCCUCACCUGCAUUCUCAAGUGUCAAACACCCCUCUGGGAUGGGCUGUCUGACCUGGAGAUACUCAUUCCAGCCAGUUAGUGGUAUUGCAAGAACGCCAAGGCUUUGGAGGAGCUGUGUCCUCUGAGGCUGCUGGCUGCCCAGAAAUCUGAGACAGGCUUUUAUGAUGACAUCUAGUUGCUUGCCAUAUGGUGUCUCAAGGGGUCUGUGACCACUUUCGGCAAGAAUCUAGCAGCAUCAUGUUACAGUGUCCAAGAAGCACUUGGUAUUGACAUAAGAAACAUAUUUCUUGGGGACUUUCAUAAGCCAUGGAGAUGGGGCAAAUCAUUGGAAGGCUUGGAUUAAUCCAGUAAGGAACAAAGCAAGGAGUUGGCUGGCAGGCACACCCAGCACAAAUUUUCUAGUUCAGAAGACUCUGUAGGUUUAUUAGAAAGUGUUGCACAGCAAUUUCAGGGUGGUAUUUAUUAAUUGUUCCAUUUGGUCCCCAUAUAAAUUAUUGCCUUCACAAAUACUAAUCAUUGAAAAUCUCACAGAAAAUGUAUUGUUAUUUUUAUUACUGGAGGGAACAGUGUCAAAUCUGUGAUGUUGUUUUUAAUCGUGUGAUCACAGGUGACUUUUUCCUGCUGCUUCAUGUUUUCUGUAACUUCCAAGAGAGCUACAAUGGUGCAAGAGUAGGGAUUUAGACUCCAGUGAUUGGCUCUACUAAGACUUACAUGGCCUUGGGAAAAUUACUGUCUCACUCUACUUCCAUUUCCUUCUGUAAAAUGGGGAUAAGAGUACUAAUACUAUCUGCCUUCAUGAGGCUCUUGAGAGGAUCAAAUGAGAGGCUACAAAUAAAGAGCUUAAACAGUGCCUGAAACAUUGUAACUAAAGGCAAAUUUUAGCUCUUGUUACUAUCAUUACUAUGGAAUUGUAAGACUCGAUUUGUUUUUCUCUCCAAUUUGUAAUUUCUUUCUGGUUGGGAUAUAUCCUAUAUUAGAUGACGUGACAUGGCUUAAAGGACAGUUCUUUUUUCUAUCUUGGCGAUACAUGAAACAAAUGCAUCUUAAAUAGUACUUUGUGUUUGCUGAAUAGUUAUUUCUGAUUCUAUAUUUCCUUUGAGGGAUGUGAAAGGAUAGCAUUUAGCCCUGAGAUUUUGGCCUUUCUUUAGCCUUUCCCUUCCUGCUUCUCUCGCUGAAGAGUAUGGCAAAAGCUGGACUGCAGGGACCCUGCUCUUCCUUUCUGGUCCUUUUGGGACUGUAGUAUGAAUGGAUGAGUUCAAUCCAGGGGGUGCUGGGCCUUAGGGCAUUUGCAGCAAACCUGGAGAACUAGACAAAGAAGUGAAUUAAUUUGGGUGGCAAAAUGGUAGUCUAAGAUGGAAGGAGGUCUAAAGUGGGGUCCUGUUACGAAGACCUGUGACUGUGGUGGUUUCACACAAUCUGCAGCUGUACAAGUAACUUUUUUUUUUUUUCUAGGGCUGCUCCCAUGGCAUGUGGAGGUUCCCAGGCUAGGGGUCCAAUCGGAGCUGUAGCUGCCGGCCUACACCAGAGCCACAGCAAUGCGGGAUCUGAGCCAUGUCUGCGACCUACACCACAGCUCACGGCAACACCGGAUCCUUAACCCACCGAGCAAGGUCAGGGAUUGAACCUGCAACCUCAUUGUUCCUAGUCAGAUUCAUUAACCACCACACCACGACAGGAACUCCACAAUUAACUCUUAAUGGCUGUGGCCUGGGCCAGAGCCUCCCUCUCAUGGGCCAUGUGGUAUUUUGAACUUGCUGUUACUGAUGCUCAUGGGGCUUUAUUCGCAGGCCAGUGGCUGUCUUUUAUGGAAGAGGAUCCAGCAAAUGUAGGGGAUCCACGGUUGGCCUCAGCAGACAGCCAUGAGGGGACAGGUGAGCAAGCUGACCCUGGCCUUGCUGAGCUCAGCAGAAGUACUGUUCCCAAGUGGAAGCUUUGAUGUACAGGCUGCAGCUGUCUUUUUGGAUUACACAGGCACAUGUCCUUCAGCCUCCCGGGCUUCUUGCAAUACCAGAGGACCUCAGAGGAAUUCAUAAUGAAGGAGCUGAGGCAAUCACCCACUUUUAGAGAAAAAGAGAUUUUUAAAGCAGAAUUCUUUUGCUGUUUUUAAAAUGCACUUCAGGAGUCCCCUUGUGGUACAGCAGGUUAAGGAUCAGGCAUGGUCACUGUAGCAGCUUGGGUCCCUGGCCUGGGAACUUCCACAUGUUGUGGGUGUGACCAAAAAUAAAUAAAUAAAUGAAGUGUGUGUGUGUGUGUGUGUGUGUGUGUGUGUGUGUGGCAGAGGGUUUCAAUUAUGAAUGCCAGAGCUUGGGAGGGAACAUUAGCUGAGCUGCCUCAAUUCCAUUCUGCCUCCAGACCAAAGAAGUGAGCUGUGAAAGAGCCAACUUUGGGUUCGCAGGGCUUGUGGACAGAUUCAAGAAUCACUCCCCACCAUGUGAUGUUAAUAUGGCUCAGGUUAGAAGGCAAGGUAUUAAGGACUAGUGAACCCACGGCCAGAGGUGUUAGAAACAGCAUCUAUGGCCAAAGAAAGGAAAGGCAGGCUUACACAAGAAUGUAAAUACUACGGAAUGAACUGGGGCCUACAUUCAAGUCAAUAUUGGGGUACUAGUGAAGGAAAAUGUGUACUGAGAUUGAAAACUAUGUAUCCAUGCGCCACCUAGACUGGCACACACCCUUCAUGGUUAUCCUAUUCUGAUUCUAUGGAACCAUUUUUUUUACCACUGACUCUGUAAGUUAAAUAACUGAUGGCAAUGCAAAAUAAUUGUCUUCAGACAUGGAAAUGAUUCCUUCUGUGGAGGGACAGCACUUACCUCCCAUCCUGUGCAAAAACCAAUUUGGUAUCUAUUUGCACGUUCAUUUCAACAUUCAUUACUCCAUAAAUAUCUGUGCUUCUUUGGCUUCUCUGAGCCAGUUGCCUGGUUUUUCCAUUUAAUCUAUGAGUGAAAUAAAAUCUUUACCAUAUGUUCAUUUUCUAUGUAUAUGUGAGUUAUGAUUUGCUUCUUUUGGAAAUAUCUUUUAACAUUCAAAGCAUAUUCAAAGGGGAAAUGGAAAGUUAGGAAAUGUGAUAUACAUGAGGUGGAAGGAAAGGCACCUCACAUCAGACUGGGAAUGCCAGUAGUUCAAAUUUCUAGACUUGUCUCAAGGCAGCAAUAUCUUAAAUGCUCUUCUCUGAGAAAAGACAAUAUGUAUAAGUGGAUUUCUCUCCCAAUCUAGAAAAUUCAUAGUUCCAAAAAUAAUCUUUGCCAGGAGCUAUUUCCCAACUGAUUUGAAGUUCACAGUUCAUGGUCUCUGGACAACUAACAUAAACUCUGGCACACUGGCACAGGUCAAAACAAGGAGAUGCCCUUCUCUCAAUGCCACUGAAUCUGUGGUCUUGCCAGCUCUUUCUGGUCUAGACUAAAUACUGAGUUCUGGGAAUAUAAUUUUGUUCUGGGCUAACUGCCCUAAGCACUGGGGAUGGAGUCAUUUUCUAAAUUUUGUAGACCUGGACCAAUGCUAUGAUAAUCUUUUAUGUCCUACUAAUAAUUAACUCUGGACUUUUUUCAAGGGUGGUUUGUCAAAGAUUUGGCGUUUAGGUGAUACCACUUGUUAUAAACUACAUUAAUUAUGGUAUGAAGGUUUGGCUGCUGCAAGAAUCCCAGCUUUACCCAAAAUAGAGACUUCCUCUAUCAAAACUCAACAAGAUAAGGAAUUGGAAAGGGUAAAUUGUGAGCACUAAUGUCUUUGUACUUUAACACUGAAAGGCAAGGAAAAUUGAUUCUGGGCUUCUUUUUUCACUGUUAUGGCUUUAGAUUCACUUUGUAAGCAGGGCUCAGUUUAUGGACCUCCAUUGGUUUUUGAGAACUGUUAAUGAGAGGGAAUUUAUAUUCAUAUUUCUAUGUUGAACAUUUUUGUUGGUCUAUGUUAAUGUUGUCGUUUGCUGUCAUUGUGACUGUGUAACAGGUGAUGUUGGACAAUGAGGCUGCUCAGGAUUUGUAAUGGAAGAAAGAUUAGGUAGUCAACUUUUAUAACUGGGUAUAAAGUGACUUUGGCUUUACUUAAUGUUCGGAUACAUUUAUGAGCCUCUGAAAGCAAAAUCAAAAAGUCCCACCAGUGGUUCCACGAUGCUAUUCACAGGGCAAGGCAUUGGUAUUGGGAAGCUCAUGAUGGGUGAGCAGGGGAUGAUAGUGACAGACAACUGAUAAUUUCUCCCAAAGGGGUGGCUGCUCCCCAGGAUUAAUUGGGAAUCACUCCUGAUAUUUCCUUCCAUAUGAAGCACAUUCAUUAGGUAGCACUUUCUCCACUACCUCCUUUAUCACACCCAUGAGUUUGGAAGGAUAAAAAUGAGCAUCAGUAGCAUAGACUUUUCAUUUUCCUUCCCUUUGGAGAGUGAGCUGUCCCAGAUAGAACACAUACAAAUCUUCCUCCUCUGCAUGCAGAGGAUAGCCCUGCCACUGCUGUUGGGAAAGGGGUUAAUUUCAGCUCCAAUACCAGGAAGUUUUCUGUUCAUAGAUACAAGCCCCCUUCUCCAGCAUCAGUGUUAUCAGUAAGAAGAUGGUGAUUGGAUCUCGCAUCUGGUUUUUUUCUUUUUUUAACAACGUGUCAUUAACCUCAGUGCUUUUGAGCACAGAUUUACCUCGCUGCCAAUCUACUUUAUCAGUGAUGUUAUGACUUAUUAAUUACUUCCUGUGAUUGACUGUUGAACGUGUCUCAGGUCUGACUGGUAGAGAUCACACAUUUUUGAGCCUUUGCACGCACCUGUGCACUCACGUGACUUUGUCCACUUCUAAACACUUUUGCCAACAGUGGCUUUAGACAUUUGUUUGCAG